UCCCUGGUGGCUCAGACGGUAAAGCAUCUGCCUGCAAUGCAGGAGACCCAAAUUCGAUCCCUGGGUGGGGAA
rnacentral:tRNA from 1 species